CCUAGGGGAGGCAGCAGUGAGGAAUAUUGGUCAAUGGACGAGAGUCUGAACCAGCCAAGUAGCGUGAAGGAUGACUGCCCUAUGGGUUGUAAACUUCUUUUAUAUGGGAAUAAAACAGGGUAUGCAUACCAUAUUGUAUGUACCAUAUGAAUAAGGAUCGGCUAACUACGAGCCAGCAGCCGCGGUAAUACGGAGGAUCCGAGCGUUAUCCGGAUUUAGUGGGUUUAAAGGGAGCGUAGGUGGAUUGUUAAGUCAGUUGUGAAAGUUUGCGGCUCAACCGUAAAAUUGCAGUUGAAACUGGCAGUCUUGAGUACAGUAGAGGUAGGCGGAAUUCGUGGUGUAGCGGUGAAAUGCUUAGAUAUCACGAAGAACUCCGAUUGCGAAGGCAACUCACUGGACUGCAACUGACACUGAUGCUCGAAAGUGUGGGGAUCAAACAGGAUUAGAUACCCCUGUAGUC
rnacentral:rRNA from 1 species